rnacentral:lncRNA from 1 species
GAGCCAGAUCCAAAAUGUUUUGAAAAGAAGAAGGAAUUCUCUUCAUUGGUUUCAGCAGACUUUGGAUCAGGCUUGUAACAGACAAAACUCUGAAUCUGAACAAACCAGCAAAGCAUAGAUCCCAACUUCAGAUUGUCAUCUGAGUCCUGUGGUUUUCCUAGCUUAGCCUGGCCUAUGUUAAGAGUGAUUUCAGGACAGCUGAUGAGCCCAAAGUGUUCCAUUACUUUGAGCAGUGAUUCUAAAUACUGUAUGACUAUUUUCUCAAGAUGACCAGCCCUCCCAUUCCUCUUCCUCGAGACAACCAAAAGGUCAAGUUCUUAUCAAGUACAUCAUCAGUGACCUGCAAAAUGACAAGAAAGCUGUCCUCAGUUACCUGUCUUAUACCAAACC